rnacentral:lncRNA from 1 species
GUACAAGUACUUUUAAAAUGCACCAAUAUUUUCUUUGCACAUAUUAAAUGAAAGACUAUAAUUAUUAAAUGUUUUAAUAUACUUUUUGUUCUGCCUCCAUAUAUAGACUGCACUGGAAAAUAGAAUGUGGGUUAAUCAUUAAAAAGGAUAGUUAACAGCCAAGAGACUUCACAAGUGAUAACUGCUUACUACAGAGUCCAGGCUGAAAACCAUGACGCAAUAUUUCCCUAUUAUCAUAAGAAAUUGUUACAUUCAAUGUGGUCUCCUGCCAUCUGUUUCUUCAUGCUGUUAUGGCUUCGAUUUAUGGAAAAUAUUUAUCAGGAUGUUGCAAAAUUGCUAACAGGAAUAAUAGUAGCAGGCAAAUCAAUAAGAAAUUCUGAAAUACCUUUCAAUAUACUAGAGGUUUCUCAGAAAAUCUAAGAUAUAUAGAAUACUGUAUUCUAAUAUGCAAAACUUUUAAAUCUGCUAAUUAGUAUUGACUAGAACUAUCCCUUGGUAAUGAAAUUAAUAAGAAUUUUAGCUGUGCUAACACUUUCUAAUAUUUUAUACCAUGCUUAUGGAUUUCUUUUAAAUAUUUCUGCUUCAAGUAUGAUGACACAGAACUGCUUCCUGAGUUAACUGUAAAGAUUGAUGUUAUAUGUCUAAACAUAGGCUC